GAUGAACGCUGGCGGCGUGCAUAAUACAUGCAAGUCGAACGAGUUCUGAUUAUUGAAAGGUGCUUGCAUCUUGAUUUAAUUUUGAACGAGUGGCGGACGGGUGAGUAACACGUGGGUAACCUGCCCUUAAGUGGGGGAUAACAUUUGGAAACAGAUGCUAAUACCGCAUAAAUCCAAGAACCGCAUGGUUCUUGGCUGAAAGAUGGCGUAAGCUAUCGCUUUUGGAUGGACCCGCGGCGUAUUAGCUAGUUGGCGAGGUAACGGCUCACCAAGGCAAUGAUACGUAGCCGAACUGAGAGGUUGAUCGGCCACAUUGGGACUGAGACACGGCCCAAACUCCUACGGGAGGCAGCAGUAGGGAAUCUUCCACAAUGGACGCAAGUCUGAUGGAGCAACGCCGCGUGAGUGAAGAAGGCUUUCGGGUCGUAAAACUCUGUUGUUGGAGAAGAACGGUCGGCAGAGUAACUGUUGUCGGCGUGACGGUAUCCAACCAGAAAGCCACGGCUAACUACGUGCCAGCAGCCGCGGUAAUACGUAGGUGGCAAGCGUUAUCCGGAUUUAUUGGGCGUAAAGCGAGCGCAGGCGGUUUUUUAAGUCUGAUGUGAAAGCCCUCGGCUUAACCGAGGAAGUGCAUCGGAAACUGGGAAACUUGAGUGCAGAAGAGGACAGUGGAACUCCAUGUGUAGCGGUGAAAUGCGUAGAUAUAUGGAAGAACACCAGUGGCGAAGGCGGCUGUCUGGUCUGUAACUGACGCUGAGGCUCGAAAGCAUGGGUAGCGAACAGG
rnacentral:rRNA from 2 species